rnacentral:rRNA from 1 species
UACGGGGGGGGCUAGCGUUGUCCGAAGUUACUGGGCGUAAAGCGCGCGUAGGCGGGUUGGUAAGUCCGCUGUGAAAGCCCGGAGCUCAACUCCGGAGGGUCGGUGGAUACUGCCAGUCUUGAAGGUGCUAGGGGGAGAUGGAAUUACCGGUGUAGCGGUGAAAUGCGUAGAUAUCGGUAGGAACACCAGUGGCGAAGGCGGUCUCCUGGGGCAUUCUUGACGCUGAGGCGCGAAAGCUGGGGGAGCAAACGGG